rnacentral:rRNA from 1 species
GACGAACGCUGUCGGCGUGCUUAACACAUGCAAGUCGAACGGAAAGGCCCUGCUUUUGUGGGGUGCUCGAGUGGCGAACGGGUGAGUAACACGUGAGUAACCUGCCCUUGACUUUGGGAUAACUUCAGGAAACUGGGGCUAAUACCGGAUAGGAGCUCCUGCUGCAUGGUGGGGGUUGGAAAGUUUCGGCGGUUGGGGAUGGACUCGCGGCUUAUCAGCUUGUUGGUGGGGUAGUGGCUUACCAGGGCUUUGACGGGUAGCCGGCCUGAGAGGGUGACCGGCCACAUUGGGACUGAGAUACGGCCCAGACUCCUACGGGAGGCAGCAGUGGGGAAUAUUGCACAAUGGGCGGAAGCCUGAUGCAGCAACGCCGCGUGCGGGAUGACGGCCUUCGGGCUGUAAACCGCUUUCGCCUGUGACGAAGCGUGAGUGACGGUAAUGGGUAAAGAAGCACCGGCCAACUACGUGCCAGCAGCCGCGGUGAUACGUAGGGUGCGAGCGUUGUCCGGAUUUAUUGGGCGUAAAGGGCUCGUAGGUGGUUGAUCGCGUCGGAAGUGUAAUCUUGGGGCUUAACCCUGAGCGUGCUUUCGAUACGGGUUGACUUGAGGAAGGUAGGGGAGAAUGGAAUUCCUGGUGGAGCGGUGGAAUGCGCAGAUAUCAGGAGGAACACCAGUGGCGAAGGCGGUUCUCUGGGCCUUUCCUGACGCUGAGGAGCGAAAGCGUGGGGAGCGAACAGGCUUAGAUACCCUGGUAGUCCACGCUGUAAACGGUGGGUACUAGGUGUGGGGUCCAUUUCACGGGUUCCGUGCCGUAGCUAACGCUUUAAGUACCCCGCCUGGGGAGUACGGCCGCAAGGCUAAAACUCAAAGGAAUUGACGGGGCCCCGCACAAGCGGCGGAGCAUGCGGAUUAAUUCGAUGCAACGCGUAGAACCUUACCUGGGUUUGACAUGGAUCGGGAGUGCUCAGAGAUGGGUGUGCCUCUUUUGGGGUCGGUUCACAGGUGGUGCAUGCCUGUCGUCAGCUCGUGUCGUGAGAUGUUGGGUUAAGUCCCGCAACGAGCGCAACCCUUGUUCACUGUUGCCAGCACGUUAUGGUGGGGACUCAGUGGAGACCGCCGGGGUCAACUCGGAGGAAGGUGGGGAUGACGUCAAGUCAUCAUGCCCCUUAUGUCCAGGGCUUCACGCAUGCUACAAUGGCUGGUACAGAGAGUGGCGAGCCUGUGAGGGUGAGCGAAUCUCGGAAAGCCGGUCUCAGUUCGGAUUGGGGUCUGCAACUCGACCUCAUGAAGUCGGAGUCGCUAGUAAUCGCAGAUCAGCAACGCUGCGGUGAAUACGUUCCCGGG